UGGGGAAUAUUGCACAAUGGGGGAAACCCUGAUGCAGCGACGCCGCGUGAACGAAGAAGGUAUUCGUAUCGUAAAGUUCUGUCCUAUGGGAAGAUAAUGACAGUACCAUAGAAGAAAGCUCCGGCCAAAUACGUGCCAGCAGCCGCGGUAAUACGUAUGGAGCGAGCGUUGUCCGGAAUUAUUGGGCGUAAAGGGUACGCAGGCGGUUUAAUAAGUCGAAUGUUAAAGAUCGGGGCUCAACCCCGUAAAGCAUUGGAAACUGUUAAACUUGAGUAGUGGAGAGGAAAGUAGAAUUCCUAGUGUAGUGGUGAAAUACGUAGAUAUUAGGAGGAAUACCAGUAGCGAAGGCGACUUUCUGGACACAAACUGACGCUGAGGUACGAAAGCGUGGGGAGCAAACAGG
rnacentral:rRNA from 1 species